UCCUUGAUAGCCCCGCCGGCGGCCGCCGAGGUCGGCGCUCUCGCCUCGUCUCCUCCCCCGGCUGGGGACCCUCUCCUCUCCCCUCCCUUGCCCCCUCCUCUCGCCGCCGCCUCCUCCUCCUUGUCCGAGCGGCUAGCUGCGAGGAGGCGUAACGGAAAGCCCCGGCGUGGGGAAGGCUGCGAGCUCGGAGCCGGAGACGCGGAGCCGGGGUCGGGUCGGCGGGGAAGCAGACUCUUGAAUUCACAGCUGGCUUAUGAUUUUGCCUCUUGUUACAGAGCACUCACACAGGUGGCAUUUUUCUGAAGUUGUUCAUUGACACUUCCCAGCAUUUCUGCAGAUAAAAUAGGUGAGGCCGCGCUCCGAGCUCGGACAUGGCAGCAUGACGGCCCGGGACCGCGCUGCCAGAGGCCGGCCAGGAGGAGCCCCCGGCUGCGGGAGCGAGCGCCCGGAGCAGCGACUGCUUCCUGAGGCCGCCUGAGCCUCCUUCCCACCCGCCGGCUGUUACUGUUCACCCCGUGGAGUCCUGACU
rnacentral:lncRNA from 1 species